rnacentral:rRNA from 1 species
UACGUAGGUGGCAAGCGUUGUCCGGAUUUACUGGGCGUAAAGAGCGCGCAGGCGGUCGUUCAAGUCGCGUGUGAAAGCCCCCGGCUCAACUGGGGAGGGUCACGCGAUACUGAUCGACUCGAAGGCAGGAGAGGGAAAGUGGAAUUCCCGGUGUAGUGGUGAAAUGCGUAGAUAUCGGGAGGACACCAGUGGCGAAGGCGAACUUCCUGGCCUGUUCUUGACGCUGAGGCGCGAAAGCUAGGGGAGCAAACGGG